rnacentral:rRNA from 1 species
UACGAAGGGGGCUAGCGUUGCUCGGAAUCACUGGGCGUAAAGGGUGCGUAGGCGGGUCUUUAAGUCAGGGGUGAAAUCCUGGAGCUCAACUCCAGAACUGCCUUUGAUAAUGAGGAUCUUGAGUUCGGGAGAGGUGAGUGGAACUGCGAGUGUAGAGGUGAAAUUCGUAGAUAUUCGCAAGAACACCAGUGGCGAAGGCGGCUCACUGGCCCGAUACUGACGCUGAGGCGCGAAAGCGUGGGGAGCAAACAGG